UGAGUGCAGCUGUGUGUGACCGAGACCAAGGAGGAGGUUUCUGACACAAAUUAUAGAUGCAGGCAGAUCCAAUUCUCCAGCCCGGACCUUUGGCUCCUGAUACGAACAACGACGGAUACCUAGAGGGUUGAAAGUGGACUCAGCAGGCCACUGCACUAUGUGCUAUUUCAUGUCAGAAAAAGAAAGCAACGCCAUCAACUGGCGAAGAGAAGCCAUUGUAAUGCCGCAGGCAAAUCUUUUAUUUUCAUCAAUCCAUUUGGCCGGCAGUGGCAAAUUGUACUGCUCUUUUGGUCAAUGAGUGACAACACUAAUGUUCACAAAAUAAGUGAUUAGCAGCUAAAUUGAGAAUUAAAUAGUGCGUUGUUGCAUCUCUAGAUUCAUGCUUACAGACUGGGCACGUGCAGCUAAUCCUAACUGCUCGAGGUAGGUAGGGCACGGGCUCGAGACUGUCCGUUUACUAGCCUAGCUAGCAGCAUUUUUUUUAGAGACUAACUUUUGCUAGCUAACUUCAAAUUAUUGUUGAUGAACAGGCAUAGAAAUAAGAUGCCAGGUGCUCAGUUCAAGGCUGUUUACGUGCCAAGUUUUGGAUAUCAAUCCUCACGAUGUAGUCAAAAAGAUGGACAGCAAAUGAAUGAGUACUUGAUCGAGUUGUCCAGCUCACGGAGAAGACAAGAUACGUUGUCAACAAAAAAGAUCAAAUUAACGAAGUGUAACAGCAAGCCUGCACUGUCCAAGAAGAAACGAAAGGAUGAGAGAAGGUCGAUGCCUCCACCACGACCCGUGAUAGAGAGAAUGACAGCUGCCCGAAGUCAAGGUGAAGGAGAGAGAUCACAACAACAGAGACGGAGAAGUCCUAGCGUUGAACAAAGAUCCUCGUUCCUUCCUUGUUCCUCCAUGUCCAAUACAGGCACUCCUCAGAGCAUGAUGAAUGAAGACCUCUUCACCUUCUACCAGAGAGACAAGCACACAUCAACCAACCAACCUCAGUGGGCAGCCAGACAGGCUGUGUUAAGGACCAUCGGUAGGAUGCUGCAGGAGAACAGGAGCAUCAGAGAGAGACUGGUCUCCCUCAGCCAUAGCAGUCAAGUUAUACAUUCAACUCAGUCUGAAGACUAGAUUACAAUCUGGGAAUGAUACAUAGAUUAUAGAACUUCUCUUUCCCUCUCAAACUCAGGAAUGGAAUAGUUUUAUUUGUUUCCCUUAAAUGUUAUGAUUUUGUUUUAACCAAGUUUAUGGACUACCUGGCAAAUGUGCUGAUUUAAAAUGGAAUGAAGAUUAUUUAUGUUACCUGAAACUAAACCUGUACUGUACAUCUCCAGCAAUCUGUUCCUAUAGUUUCCUCUGGUUGAAGAAAUAGACUAUAGGUUGGUUUUGAUGGGGAACACACAGAUUUUGACUGUUGUCAUGGGGAACGAAGAGUUCUGAAUUAAAACAACUUCUUGAGGA